CGGUACUUCUCCAGUAACCUGGAUCGGCUGUUCUUCAACCUGUCCACGCAACGCUGAGGAACAAACAAAACAACUAAAGUUAACCAUCAAAACAAGUUACACUUCAUGAACUAAAGCUUUGACAUUAACUCGGGUCAGAUCUGCAGAGCGGAGGUGGAGAAAUGGUCCAGUCUGAAGUGCCAGGAGCCUGAGGUCCCGUCUGUCCCCAGGGUCAGAUCUGCAGAGCGGAGGUGCAGAAAUGGUCCAGUCUGAAGUGCCAGGAGCCUGAGGUCCCGUCUGUCCCCAGGGUCAGAUCUGCAGAGCGGAGGUGCAGAAAUGGUCCAGUCUGAAGUGCCAGGAGCCUGAAGUCAUGCCAGAGGAGGCCCACAUGUUUGACCUGGGCUGCUUCCUGUCCGACAUCUCUGACACCCUGUUCACCAUGACCCAGAAGCCCUGCCCUGGAGCCAAUGACCGACACAACAGUGUUAACAUUAACUAGUUAACAUUAACUCUCCCCAUAGGUUAUCUGUACUGUACAUCAAAUUCAAUUCCUAGGCAAUCUAUUUCAGUACACUUACAACUGACAGAAAUUCUCUCUCAUUCUUAGGUGAUCCAAAUGAACCUAUUUGUGCAACUACCACACCACAUGGUCCACUGUAUUUACCCGUGGACAGCGUAUACCAGCAACGUUGACAAGAUCCAGCCAGGUGUCACCUCACUGCAGCCCAAUCUGGACGACUUCAUGGAUAUCCCAGGUACCUUCA